AACUUUCAACAACGGAUCUCUUGGUUCUGGCAUCGAUGAAGAACGCAGCGAAAUGCGAUAAGUAGUGUGAAUUGCAGAAUUCAGUGAAUCAUCGAAUCUUUGAACGCACAUUGCGCCCCUUGGUAUUCCAUGGGGCAUGCCUGUUCGAGCGU
rnacentral:rRNA from 7 species